UACAGAGGUCCCAAGCGUUGUUCGGAUUCAUUGGGCGUAAAGAGCUCGUAGGCGGCUUGUUGCGUCGACUGUGAAAACCCGGGGGCUCAACCCCCGGGCCUGCAUUCGAUACGGGCAGACUAGAGUUCGGUAGGGGAGUCUGGAAUUCCUGGUGUAGCGGUGAAAUGCGUAGAUAUCAGGAGGAACACCGGUGGCGAAGGCGGGACUCUGGGCCGAUACUGACGCUGAGGAGCGAAAGCGUGGGGAGCGAUCCGG
rnacentral:rRNA from 1 species